UUCCGGUUUGUGUUUGGUGGCUAACACAUGUGGAGUUUGUUUCUAUUUUGCUUUUAAGCUAUAGAAAGGUUUUUUCGGUGUGCUCUGUGUGUAUUUGUGCUGUUUGUGAGCGUCUUGUUCGUAUUGUGUUUGUCUAAGUGUCACAUAGAAGGCACCGGAAUCCUGCCGAAAAACCACUAGUAUUCCAGACAAUUAUAUUUCACAGUGCCCAUGUGUGGUCAUUACACGACACUGGCAGAAAUUGCUAAAACA